rnacentral:rRNA from 1 species
GACGAACGCUGGCGGCGUGCCUAAUACAUGCAAGUAGAACGCAGUUGCGAACGGGUGAGUAACGCGUAGGUAACUGCCUGGUAGCGGGGGAUAACUAUUGGAAUCGAUAGCUAAUACCGCAUACUACCAGAUGGACCUGCGUUGUAUUGGCUAUUUGGUGAGGUAACGGCUCACCAAGGCAACGAUACAUAGCCGACCUGAGAGGGUGAUCGGCCACACUGGGCCUGAGACACGGCCCAGACUCCUACGGGAGGCAGCAGUAGGGAUGCUUCGGCAAUGGGGGGAACCCUGACCGAGCAACGCCGCGUGAGUGAAGAAGGUGUUCGGAUCGUAAAGCUCUGUUGUUAAUGAAGCGGUACUUAACCAGAAAGGGACGGCUAAAGACGUGCCAGCCGCCGCGGUAAUAC